UAAUACGAAGGGGGCUAGCGUUGCUCGGAAUCACUGGGCGUAAAGCGCACGUAGGCGGUCUUUUAAGUCAGGGGUGAAAUCCUGGAGCUCAACUCCAGAACUGCCUUUGAUACUGAGAGACUUGAGUCCGGGAGAGGUGAGUGGAACUGCGAGUGUAGAGGUGAAAUUCGUAGAUAUUCGCAAGAACACCAGUGGC
rnacentral:rRNA from 1 species